rfam:Schistosoma margrebowiei strain Zambia genome assembly, scaffold: SMRZ_contig0001261
GCACUGCUGAGGAGUCCCACACUAGGAUGUAACGGCCGUCCAGUGC